GACGAACGCUGGCGGCGUGCUUAACACAUGCAAGUCGAACGAAGUGGCGAACGGGUGAGUAACGCGGAAUCAACCUGGCCUUCAGAGGGGGACAACAGUUGGAAACGACUGCUAAUACCGCAUACUGAAGGAGGGGAUUGCGUCUGAUUUGCUCUGUGGCGGGGUAACGGCCCACCAAGGCGAUGAUCAGGAGCCGGGCUGAGAGGAGGAACGGCCACAUUGGGACUGAGACAAGGCCCAGACUCCUACGGGAGGCAGCAGUGGGGAAUCUUCCGCAAUGGACGAAAGUCGUACGGAGCAACGCCGCGUGAGUGAUGACGGCCUUCGGGUUGUAAAGCUCUUUUAAUCGGGACGCGGUACCGGAAUAGAAAGCCACGGCUAACUACGUGCCAGCCGCCGCGGUAAUAC
rnacentral:rRNA from 1 species